CUACGGGCUGCACCAGUGAGGAAUUUUGCGCAAUGGGGGCAACCCUGACGCAGCAACGCCGCGUGAGUGAAGAAGGCCUUUGGGUCGUAAAGCUCUGUCAACUGGGAAGAAAUUAGCAUCAAUUAAUAGUUGUUGUUAUUGACGGUACCAGUGGAGGAAGCGCCGGCUAACUCCGUGCCAGCAGCCGCGGUAACACGGGGGGCGCAAGCGUUAUUCGGAAUUAUUGGGCGUAAAGGGCGCGCAGGCGGUCUUGUCAGUCAGGUGUGAAAGCCCGGGGCUCAACCCUGGAAGUGCACUUGAAACAGCAAGACUUGAGUACGGGAGAGGAAAGCGGAAUUCCUGGUGUAGAGGUGAAAUUCGUAGAUAUCAGGAGGAACACCGAUGGCGAAGGCAGCUUUCUGGACCGAUACUGACGCUGAGGCGCGAAGGCGUGGGUAGCGAACGGGAUUAGAUACCCUAGUAGUC
rnacentral:rRNA from 1 species